GGACUCAAAUCAGAAUCCUAGUAACCAUAAUAGUCAAAUACUGGACUCGAACGGGAACUCAUAGUAACCUUAAUAAUCAAAUGUCGGACUCAAAUCGAAACUCAUAGUAACAAUAAUAAUCAAAUGUCAGACUCGAAUCAGAACUCAUAGUAACUAUAAUAGUCAAAUGUCAGACUCGAACCAAAACUCAUAGUAACCAUAAUAAUCAGAUACCUGACUUGAAUCGGAACUCAUAGUAACCAUAAUAAUCAGAUGCCGGACUCGAACCAAAACUCAUAGUAACCAUAAUAAUCAAAUGCUGGACUCGAAUCAAAACACAUAGUAACCAUAAUAAUCAGAUGCCAAACUCGAACCAGAACUCAUAGUAACCAUAAUAAUCAGAUGCCGGACUCGAACCGGAACUCAUAGUAACCAUAAUAGUCAAAUGCCGGACUCAAAUCGAAACUCAUAGUAACCAAAAUAGUCAAAUGCCAG
rnacentral:lncRNA from 1 species